UUCCAGUAUCUCUGGCAGAGCAUCUCUGUAGGAAGCACUGUUGAGCUGGUUGAUAAUCAGUAAGAGCAGACAUGAAGUCAUGAGAAGAUAUCAGUGCCAUUAUAUCAUCUCGAGGUUAAGUGGGGCAUCAAUACCUGGAGAGCACAGCAGAUGUUGUUGAUCUCAGAUGUGAAGUUGAGCUUCUGUUUAGUCAUGAUCAAUUCCAUAACACCCAAGCACGUGUAGUUCCCCUGCUCGAACACUGGAAGACCCAUCGUCCCAUGGACGUUCAAGGACUGGGCAUCGUUCACCCGGGGGUAUUCAUAUCU